GGGGCGGUGGCGCAGCUGGGAGCGCGUCAGACUGAAGUUAAACUUCAAUCUAUCAUCUGAAGGUCAUCGGUUCAAGCCCGGUCCACCCCA
rnacentral:tRNA from 1 species